UACGUAGGGUGCGAGCGUUGUCCGGAAUUACUGGGCGUAAAGCGCGUGUAGGCGGAUGAGCAAGUCUGCUGUGAAAGCUCCUGGCUUAACCGGGAGUGGUCGGUGGAAACUGCUCGUCUGGAGGACGGUAGAGGUAGGUAGAAUUCCCGGUGUAGUGGUGAAAUGCGUAGAGAUCGGGAGGAAUACCUGUGGCGAAGGCGGCCUACUGGGCCGGACCUGACGCUGAGACGCGAAGGCGUGGGGAGCGAACGGG
rnacentral:rRNA from 1 species